rnacentral:misc_RNA from 1 species
CCAGUGUGCUUUUGCCCCCCUUAGAGUAAGGCACAAUGUGAUCGUAAUCGUGGCACAAGCAACCGGGACAACCCACAAGCUUUCUAAAGACAAUAUUACCAAGGGGGUCGCGGCGCCACCGGUCUGGGUCUCGGCCCUUGACCUUCUCCGCCUUCUCCCAGCAUUGCUGCUUCACGCUGUAUGGAAAGCUCCUCGGUUCAGGGUUUGAAUUUGCGUGCUCCGGGAAGAUUCGGAGGUCUUCAAACAGAGCGACAUUGUCUUCUUGAGUGACGAGCUCGCUGUCGAGGAGGGAGGCCGAGUGGGCUAUUGUAGAUUGACGAGACCUGGGUAGAGAAGAGUGAGGCCCAGAGGGAAAGGUGGUAGUAGUUCGAGCAGAUCUGGGUGGAGAAGAGGGACGAGCUCGCCUUCCAGCAGUGUCUUUGGCUGGCCUCAUCUUCUCUUGUUGUAAAAUUGAUGAAUUAUGAAGGUUGCAACACCAGUGAUCGAUGGACAAUGGAUUUAAUUUGGGUAAUUGGGAUCUUCCACACCAAUCCAGCUUC